AGGCAAGCCAAAGACAGUAUGCAACCAUGAAACGCCUACAAGUCAGCAAAUUGGCAGGUGUCAAUAUCGAACCACCACGUGCAUGUAUGUCUGCUGCGUGUCUCUAAUCUAUUUUUUUUUUUUAUUAUUAUUCUUUCCAUAAGGGCCAAAGGCUGUAGUAGUGAAUCUGCAUGAACGUUUAUCGUUCUCAGAAGUGUUCUCCGCCAGACAGGUGAAAGCUAGUCCUGGCCUUCUAUGCUGAAAUGUCAGUCCCAGUCCAGGAAGAGAGAGAGAGAGAGAGAGCAAUGCCACGUGGGAGCAGGAUGGAUGGAAGAACAAGGAGAAGAAGUGGGCCAUAAACCAUGACCUGCAUGCAAGUCACCUUUGAGUAUCCAUCGAAGUGUUUUAUUUUACGCAGGGCGCAAUGAACCUGCAGCACUGGAGCGGACCAACCCCACACAGAGCCAAGCUCCACCCUCGACGCAUGAGCAGGAAGUGCAAAUGCCACCACAUCAGGAGUUGUCGGAGCUGUUGGGGGCGGAUUGGACACCUACAGAGCCCAUGUCCUAAUUGGGGAGAUCAAUUCCUGCAUGGCACAAACCUCGUCCUAGACAAUAUUAUAAAUAAAAAGCCAAAGCUGGAACAAAAAAUGAAGAAUCUUAUUGAUGUGCUGGGGAGGGAUUUAAA